rnacentral:lncRNA from 1 species
GGGUAUAUAUAGGUGAGGAGCGCAUCAGAAAACAGGCCCAAGUCCAACGAGCCACCGCCGGGCGGUUUAAGUGUGCCGCCCGGCGGUUUGCCACAAAUCGCACUACCGCCUGGCGGUAGGGGUCUACCGCCCGGCGGUUUCCCUCAAAUCGCAAAUCUGCCCAGCGCCAACGCCAGGUGCCUACUCCUCGCCCUGGAUCGCCCGGCGGUUUAAGUGUGCCGCCCAGCGGUGCGUCGACUCUUCAAAUCUUCAUUUUUCUGCUCUUUUCUUGAGUCAACGACCUGUAUCUUAAACUCCAUUCUUUACUUUUCUCAAAUUAGCUACAAAACAAUGCAAAACAAGCAUAAAAUCGCUAAAAACAACUUUUGACUCUCUCCAAACUCAUUUAUUGACUUUUGCUUGAGUCUAAGCUCAUUCCGAGUAGUAAAGGGUGUAAUUUGGUCCAAAUUGACAUUUGAAAAUUUGGUCCAAAUUUCUGAAAAAUCUCUUCAGAUUCUGUGCUCCUUUGUAUUGGCAUAAACUGAGGUUGUUCUGAACUUUCUGGGGCUGUUAUCAUCUCCUGUGAUAAAACAGACAAUUUCUGAAUAAUUGUCUCUAGCUGCUGGGCCAUUAUCAUAGUCUGCUUAAUCAUAGAAUUAUUUUCCUGAAUAUGCGCAACACUUUCAAUUUGUGUUUCUUCAUUGUCUGCCAUACUUUCAAUUAAUUCAUAAGCCUCAUCCUUAGUCUUUUUUUUUUAUAUCCCCUCUAGUUGCGACAUUUAACAUCAUUUUUGAGUGCAUGUUUACUCCUCCAAGGAAUGUAAGAACUAUGGUUGUCUUAUCAAACCCAUGGAUUGGGGUCUUCUUCAAUAGGCUCUUAAACCUCUCCCAUGCUUGCCCGAGGGUUUCUUUCAUGCCUUGCCUGAAUGAUGAAAUUUCCAGCCUUCCCUGUGUAACUUUGGAUUGCAGAAAAAUAUUUCUUGACAAAUUUUUCAGCCACAGUCACCCAGGUAGUGAAUGUUCCUACAGGAAAAGAAUUGAGCCAAGUCUUACGUUGCCUCCAAGUGAGAAUGGAAACAAACUAAGCUUUACUCUUUCAUCCGAAACACUUGACAUCUUCACUGUGUUGCAGAUUUCACCAAACGUUGUCAAAUGAUCAUAUGGGUUUUCAUUUGACAAGCCGUGAAAUUGGUUGCUUUGUACUAGGUGUAUAAGAGCUGGAUUCAUCACCAUGUUAGUAUUUUGGUCCACAGGCAUGGCUAUGCUAUUAAAGUGGAAAGGACCAACAACAUUGGACUGAUCUGAAAGAGUGCGUCUUGGAGGAGGUUGCUCCGCCAUCUCCUCUACUCUUCGAAUUGGUGAAGGUGAAAGUUAUCUGUUAGGAGAAGGAAAUAAAUCCCUAGAAGAACAUCUAACAAUCCUUCUUCCCCUUGUCUCACUCAAGCCUUCAAGAAGGGGUUGUGUACUUUUCUUGAUCCUAGUGUGUCUAGUCUCCUGCUGCAUGCACAAGAAACACAAACCCUAGUAGCACUUUUUUUCUUUAAAAAAAACAAUAUUUAUAAUCAAGUCAAAAUUAAUCAAUUUACACUACUCAAAAAGUUAAACCACGAUUCCCCAGCAACGGCGCCAAAAACUUGUUAAUCCCUUGGCAAGUGUACCAGAUCGUUAUAAAGUAAUAUAAUUGGUAAAUCUAAUAUCGUUCUUCCCAAAAGGACUCAAAGGCCUAAUCUUUCGUGUAACUCAAUUGCUUAAGACUUGAGAAAAGAAUUAAAUUUAAGUGUUGAAUGCAAAGAACAAAAACUANUCUGCUCUUUUCUUGAGUCAACGACCUGUAUCUUAAACUCCAUUCUUUACUUUUCUCAAA